rnacentral:rRNA from 1 species
UACGUAGGGGGCAAGCGUUGUCCGGAAUCAUUGGGCGUAAAGCGCGUGUAGGCGGCCAGGUAAGUCCGUUCUGAAAGCCCGGGGCUCAACCCCGGGAGGCGGAUGGAUACUGCUUGGCUCGAGUCCGGAAGAGGCGAGUGGAAUUCCCGGUGUAGCGGUGAAAUGCGCAGAUAUCGGGAGGAACACCAGUAGCGAAGGCGGCACUCUGGGCCGGUACUGACGCUGAGGAGCGAAAGCGUGGGGAGCGAACAGG